rnacentral:rRNA from 1 species
CCCUCUUUUUCCCGCUUUCUUCGGAAUUAUUGGGCGUAAAGGGCGCGUAGGCGGCUUUGCAAGUGACGGGUGAAAUCCCUCGGCUUAACCGAGGAACUGCCUGUCAAACUGCAUGGCUUGAGACCGGGAGAGGUGAGUGGAAUUCCCAGUGUAGCGGUGAAAUGCGUAGAUAUUGGGAGGAACACCAGUGGCGAAGGCGGCUCACUGGACCGGUACUGACGCUGAUGCGCGAAAGCGUGGGGAGCAAACAGGA